GUGUGUGUUUGCUCGCGUGUGUGCUCGUGCGCGCGCGUGUGCGUGCGUGCUCGCGCGUGUGUGUGCUCGUGCGCGUAUGUGCUCGCGUGUGUGCGCGUGCGUGUGUGUGUGUGUGUAUGUGUGUGUGUGCUUUUUGCUUUAGUCGGCUCAGUGCCUCGGGUUUUCAACGUCACCACGUAUCAACCCAACCAGACGGGCUUCCGUCAGACUUCAAACUUCUGCGUCUUGACCUAACUUGAAACCUUACCACAAAUAUAUGCUGAAGUCAUCUUCAUUCCAUAGUUGCACUCAUACAGAUCACAAUGUACGGCAUUCAAAAUUCAGAUAAUUCAUGCUCAUACGCUGCUGUAAGAGUUGGGUCGAGUCAGAAAAAUAAAUUGUCAUGCUUUUACGCAUUGUUGCCGGCAGUAUUUGCUCUGCGUCGCUCGAUUACGUCUAACUGCUUCGCUAUCAAAACGGGGCAGCUGAGAAUAUGUUACGCGAUAAGCGAUACGCUGUGGCUUAACGAUUUUUCAGAUAGCACGAAUGCCAGCAAUCGUGCGACGUAGGAGUUCAAAGGGGGACAUGGUCAGUGUGGUUGGUAUGUCUUUCGAUGUCCUUAGUUCCUGGGCGAUAAAAAUUUGUUCUCUGGCACUGAGAUAACUUUUUUUGUGUUCUCGUUCUGUUCUAGGGUGCAAGCAACGUGUCAUUGUGGUUAGAAAAAAAUGAAUCAGUAUACAUGUGAUUUAACUGUCAAAGCCGGAAUGUUUAAAGCAUACAUCCCGCAGGUAUGCUGGGAUGAUCUCCUAUCAGGCAGCUUGGAAACUUCCAGACGCCGAUAUGCCUUACGUUCGGUGCAGCCGAGGUUAUGAACUGUCAAGUGGAAUAUGCCCCUUGAGGAAAACAAUUAGGAUCGACUGUCCACUCAGCGAGGAGAUUGCGGAAUCAGCAACUGACAUAUUGACUGAUGAAACAUGAUGGUGCGUGCAGCAAGAGAGGGUUUGACUGCAGAUCCUGACCACCUGCUCCUGUAAAUUUGUACCAACCACAGGCGAAAACAAGAAGAAACGCUUUGAAUACCUGCGGUCUUCUAUCAGCUAGACAAGUCCCUGAAGCUAUAAAUCAAUAAACUUUGAUGUAUUCUGCUUUGGAGGUAUAAAGCAAUGAAAUAUGAAUUCUUUUCGA